rnacentral:rRNA from 1 species
GGGGAGCAGCCCAGAGCCUGAAUCAGUGUGUGUGUUAGUGGAAGCGUCUGGAAAGACGCGCGAUACAGGGUGACAGCCCCGUACACAAAAAUGCACAUGCUGUGAGCUCGAUGAGUAGGGCGGGACACGUGGUAUCCUGUCUGAAUAUGGGGGGACCAUCCUCCAAGGCUAAAUACUCCUGACUGACCGAUAGUGAACCAGUACCGUGAGGGAAAGGCGAAAAGAACCCCGGCGAGGGGAGUGAAAAAGAACCUGAAACCGUGUACGUACAAGCAGUGGGAGCACAGAGCAAUCUGUGUGACUGCGUACCUUUUGUAUAAUGGGUCAGCGACUUAUAUUCUGUAGCAAGGUUAACCGAAUAGGGGAGCCGAAGGGAAACCGAGUCUUAACUGGGCGUUAAGUUGCAGGGUAUAGACCCGAAACCCGGUGAUCUAGCCAUGGGCAGGUUGAAGGUUGGGUAACACUAACUGGAGGACCGAACCGACUAAUGUUGAAAAAUUAGCGGAUGACUUGUGGCUGGGGGUGAAAGGCCAAUCAAACCGGGAGAUAGCUGGUUCUCCCCGAAAGCUAUUUAGGUAGCGCCUCGUGAAUUCAUCUCCGGGGGUAGAGCACUGUUUCGGCAAGGGGGUCAUCCCGACUUACCAACCCGAUGCAAACUGCGAAUACCGGAGAAUGUUAUCACGGGAGACACACGGCGGGUGCUAACGUCCGUCGUGAAGAGGGAAACAACCCAGACCGCCAGCUAAGGUCCCAAAGUCAUGGUUAAGUGGGAAACGAUGUGGGAAGGCCCAGACAGCCAGGAUGUUGGCUUAGAAGCAGCCAUCAUUUAAAGAAAGCGUAAUAGCUCACUGGUCGAGUCGGCCUGCGCGGAAGAUGUAACGGGGCUAAACCAUG